GUUCUUACCUGGCAGGGGAGACAACUUGAUCAAGGAGGAGGUUCUGCCACGACAAGGCUAUCCUAUUACACUUCAGGUGUGCUGAUGCUUGCAAUGCCCCAAACACGGGAUACUCGAUUGCAAAAUUUGUGGUAGAGGGGGACUGUGUUCGUCUUCUCCCGUA